rnacentral:rRNA from 1 species
AUUGAACGCUGGCGGCAUGCCUUACACAUGCAAGUCGAACGGUAACAGGUCUUCGGAUGCUGACGAGUGGCGAACGGGUGAGUAAUACAUCGGAACGUGCCUAGUAGUGGGGGAUAACUACUCGAAAGAGUGGCUAAUACCGCAUGAGAUCUACGGAUGAAAGCAGGGGAUCGCAAGACCUUGUGCUACUAGAGCGGCCGAUGGCAGAUUAGGUAGUUGGUGGGAUAAAAGCUUACCAAGCCGACGAUCUGCAGCUGGUCUGAGAGGACGAUCAGCCACACUGGAACUGAGAAACGGCCCAGACUCCGACGGGAGGCAGCAGUGGGGAAUUUUGGACAAUGGGCGCAAGCCUGAUCCAGCAAUGCCGCGUGCAGGAUGAAGGCCUUCGGGUUGUAAACUGCUUUUGUACGGAACGAAAAGCCCCGGGUUAAUACCCUGGGGUCAUGACGGUACCGUAAGAAUAAGCACCGGCUAACUACGUGCCAGCCGCCGCCGUAA